UUCUUUCUUCCAUCUGAAGGUGAAGUUGAGGAAGAAACCUAACUCCUUGAGUCAAUGCUGAUGAUGAAGAUCAGAAGCUUAACAUGUGAAAACAUGCAUGGCCUGAUGCUAUCAAAGAUGCUCUGAUGGCUUUCUUGUAUGAGAUUUACAACAAAAUCUCCAUAUGCUAGCUGUUAGAUCUCUGUUAGAUCUCAAUCAAGGUAUGGAGUUUCUUCUAUUAUUUUGCUUUAGUUCAUUUGAUGUUGAAUUGAGGAUCAACUAGUCCUUCAAAACUUAGGAUGUCUUGUUACAAGAAAAAAGGGUUUACCAGGUUUCAAAGAAGCUAUUUUUCAUGUUAGUGUCAAAAAAGCUGUCAACGUGCUUUCUGGGUGAAACUGUUGUAUAUGAUGAAGACCAUGAUCAAGGAAUCAUCUUUAAUUGGCUGGAAUGUGAGAUUUACUUCGUGGGUAUGAGUGAGAUUUGUUAGACCUGGCUUGUCCAACAUUUAUGCAGCCUAGGAUGGAAUGUGAAUUUGAUUUCAAGGUUUGUUGGGGAAGGAAUUUCUUCAUGAUUUGGACGAUGUUUGGAAUGAGAUUAUAGAUGUUGGGACUCUUUGCAAACUCUUGUUAAAUAUGAGCUUUAGUGAAACUGAUCUUUUAGGAGUUUUACUUCUACCAUGCGGUCAGAAGAAGAAUACAAGAAAGAUCAAUUAUCAAGACAUAAUUGUUGACAAUUGUUUAGGGAACAUGGAUUCCAAAAUGAACAUGCUUGGAAUAUAUAAAAUGGUUGGUUUUGAAUUCUCUUUAGCUUAGCAAAACACCAUAGCCUUGCAGAAGAAUCUGGAAGCUGCAAUCGUGUCAGCUGAGAACACUCAGAGGCACUUCAUGGAUAUGAUGGCUGGUGGUAAAACCAGUCCAUGCGCUUCUUCCUCUACUAUUCCUUAUAGUAAAUAUGCUGAUCAAACUCAUACCGUAAUUUUCUAAGGCGUGUAGAUUAUUAGACUUAUUCACGGUGUAUUGUGCAAGUUUUCCAGGAUACAAUAGGACUUUCUAAAAAAUAUUUGAGAAUCACAAAACUAGCAAGAAACUCUGAUAAAGUUUAUACCCAGGAUAUGAGAUAGGAAAUCAAGAGAGAAAAUAGAGAUUGAAAAUAUGUGUUUUUUGUGCGGCACUUGGAAUGAAAUAGAUGUUAUAUUUAUAAAUGUGCAAAGAAAGGACCGUUGCAAAAUUAUAAACGUUGCAUUAUGAAAGUUGUCAUCCAACGUCUUAAAACCAACGUUCCAAAACAAUAUAAUAUAAUAUUCAAAUGAACGUUGCAAAAGUUUAUGGACGUUGUAUAACUUUCUAUUGCAAUAAUAAUAUUUUACAACAAUUCCCCACAUUGCAAAAGAAAGUUGAGAAAAGAAGAAAAAAAAAAUCUGACUCAAAUAGUUCAAACAUUAGAAAAAGAAAGAUAAGAAACUUUUAUCUUGGAUUUCAUAGGAUGUAAUGCAUCAGAGAUGGUAUAGCAAGCUAUAUGAACCAAUCAUAGAUCAAGAAACUUAACACACAAUGUAGUUGGUAUAACAAGCUAUAUGAACCAAAGACACUUGACGUGUGUUAGAGGUUUAUCAAUCACAAUACAUCUCCACAAUCCUUGCUAUUAUUGUUGUGUUGCGCUAAUAAUAAGCCAUGCGCGUGCCUGGUAUUCAUGAGUGCUCUAGAGAUCAUGCCAAGACCUCAUGCAAGCAGCCCCACUCGACACUCAUAUAGGUGAUUUCAUCAAGUGUACGUUGCAAAUCAUACACCACCCAUAAGGGAUAUGAAAAUCAUUAAAAACUUUGUUUAAGCUAAAAUUCUUUCACCACAUAGAAUUUUAAUGACAAAGUCUAACCUCUCAAUAAUGUAGUCUCUAGCACUUUCACACACACCAUAGGAAGGGACAUAAUUGAUUGAAAUCAAUUUAGUGCUAUCAGAACUAACAAGUAACUUGUUUUUACCCAUAUGAACCUUAUUCAUGGGAUCUCCAAUCAUAAAGGUUGGGUUACCAUCACUUGUUUGUUUGCAAGUAGCUUAAGUCUCAUUCUCCUCGAUGUUUCUAAUAUCAUUUGUCUUCCCAGGGAUUUCGUCAGAGGAUUUGCUAGAUUCCGUUCUGACUUCACAUGGUAAAUGAAAAUAGUUACACUCUUUAGCAGCUGCUUCACCAAAUUAUUGUUUUUAGCUAUAUCUAUUGCCGAUUGGCAAUCACAGUGUAUUGACAUCGAUGGGGUUGGUUUCAUUCCUAUUGGAAUGUUUGCUAAGAAGUUUUUAAACCACUCAGCCUCAUUUUCAACCGUCUCAAGACCAACAAACUCAAAUUCCAUUGUUGAUCUUGCAAUAAUAGUUUGUCUGGUUGAUCUCCAUGUAAUCACACCACCCCAAGUGUGAAUACAUAACCACUAGUGGAUUUUGUCUCAUCUGAAUCAGAGAUCCAGUUAGCAUCACUAUACCCUUCUAGUACAGUGGGAAAUCCACUGUAUUCAAUGGCAUAAUCCAUUGAACCUCUUAAGUAUCUCAAUCUAAGACUGGAUUAUUGUAAAAUAUUAUUAUUGCAAUAGAAAGUUGUGCAACGUCCAUAAACUUUUGCUACGUUCAUUUGAAUAUUAUAUUAUAUUGUUUUGGAACGUUGGUUUUAAGACGUUGGGUGGCAACGUUCAUAAUGCAACAUUUAGAAUUUUGCAACGGCCUUUUCUUUGCAUGUUUAUAAAUAUAACAUCCAUUUCAUUCCAAGUGCAACACAAAAAACACAUAUUUUUAAUCUCAUAUCCUGGGUAUAAAUUCUAUCAGAGUUUCUUGUUAGUUUUGUGAUUCGCGAAUAUUUUCGAAAAGUUCCUGUUGUAUCCUGGGGGACUUGCGCAAUUCACCGCGGAUAAUUCCAGUGAUCUACGUGCCUCAGGAAAUUACGGUUUGAGUUUGGUCAACAUAUUUACUACAAUCUUAAGGAGUUAUUGGGAUGUGUUUUGGAAUGGAGAAAGAGUUCUCUAUUUAUAGAGUUAGGAAAGAAUAAAAUCAAUAAAAGACAAUAAAAACAAUAAAUAAUUUAACGUUGUAGCAAUUAAAAAUUUGACUAUUGCUAAUUAAUAAAAAUAUUAACGUUGCAAAAGUUUAUGGACGUUGCACAACUUUCAAUUGCAAUAAAAUAAUAAUAUUUUACAACAUUCCUGUCCAAGAGUGGAGCUUAGAAAGCUUCCUCCAACACCAUCCAGUCAGGUUUACUAGAAAGUGCAGUCCAGAUGAAGUUGACCAUUGGUUCAAGGAUAUGGAGAGAAUAUACGCAGACAAGAGGUGCCCAGAUGAGAAUAAGUUGGCUUAUACUCAGUAUUUGUUGAUCGGGGAAGCUGGCCACUGGUGGAGCAGCAUGAAGAUGAUCUUGGAAAGGAGUGGGGCUCCUAUUACUUAAGAGUUGUUCAAGACAAAGUUCUACACUGAAUAUUUCCCUGAUAAGAUAAUUGGAAGCUUUUCAAACAUUAUCAAUUUUGGAAUGAAAAAAUGUAUUGAAAAGCGAGGUGUUUUGUUUGUUGUGUUGCAAGAGUAAAACAGUGGAAGAAGUUGGUGAACAAUAUUUUGAUGAUAUGAUAUGUCCAUUGAUUUUUCAACCAUCAAGCAGAGAGAAUAUGUGUUUUGUCAUACGUGAACUUCUCAACGACUUGGCAAAAUACAUGGGAAGAAACAUUUGUUUUAAGGUUGCAAAGGGAAGAACAUGUUUUUUUGUCAUUCUUGAACAUUUCAAUGAUUUGGCAAAAUACAUGUAAAGAAAGUUUUGUUUAAAAGUUACAAAUGGAAGAAAUACAGGAUGAUAUAUUCUGCUUCUAGUUUUUUUAUUUCCUUGAUUUUGUAAACGGGCCAAGGCCACAUCGACGGCUAUUUACAGUCAUCAAAAUUCAAUGAAAAGUAACAUAGUGAAUUAUCAGAGUCAUAUCAUUUUUUUGUGUGCAGCGUUUUCUUUUUUACAGUUUUGUCAUACAUGAACUUCUCAAUGAUUUAGCAAAAUACAUUUGAAGAAACUUUUGCAGAUUGAAGAAAUACAAGAUUUAGUUUUGUCUCAAGUAUUUGUUGUGGAAGAUGAUGGAUAGGUUGAUUGAUUUACCUCUAACGUUAUCUAUAUACAAUGUUCCACAAUGUGUUUUGUCAUACAAGACCCUCUUACUGAUUAAAGAUGCACUUUCAUUUGGUAGUUAUUUUCUGUUGUAUCAUUAGAGAAAGAUCAUUGCUGGCAACAUGAAAAUGCUCAAAUGAAUAAUGCAAAUGACAUUUUGGAAGUCUUCUAUACACAAUUAUCAGUUUUAGAAUCAGAAAAUAUGUUGAAAAGUGAGAUGCAGGGUUUACUAGAAGAGAAUAUCAGCAUUAUCUCUGCCAGUUAUCAACACUUUCCUUCUCAUCUUAAGAUGUUUUCCUUUUCCGUAAAGAUUAUGUGUUUGAAGAAAGAGCAGUUAUGUCUGUCAUGAAUGCCUGAAAAUUUUCUGUAAUGCCAUCAAAAGAUUAAGAAUAUGAAAGAAGUUGGUGAAUAAUAUUUCAAUGAUUCUUUCAACAAUCAAGGGAACUCAAAACAUUGUAAGCUUAUUCCAGUAUGAAGGGUUUUCAAAGAGGAUUUAAGAGGAGUG
rnacentral:lncRNA from 1 species